rnacentral:rRNA from 1 species
AGUGAACGCUGGCGGUAGGCCUAACACAUGCAAGUCGAACGGCAGCACAGUAAGAGCUUGCUCUUACGGGUGGCGAGUGGCGGACGGGUGAGGAAUACAUCGGAAUCUACUUUUUCGUGGGGGAUAACGUAGGGAAACUUACGCUAAUACCGCAUACGACCUACGGGUGAAAGCAGAGGAUCUUCGGACCUUGCGCGAUUGAAUGAGCCGGUGUCGGAUUAGCUAGUUGGCGGGGUAAAGGCCCACCAAGGCGACGAUCCGUAGCUGGUCUGAGAGGAUGAUCAGCCACACUGGAACUGAGACACGGUCCAGACUCCUACGGGAGGCAGCAGUGGGGAAUAUUGGACAAUGGGCGCAAGCCUGAUCCAGCCAUACCGCGUGAGUGAAGAAGGCCUUCGGGUUGUAAAGCCCUUUUGUUGGGAAAGAAAAGCAGCAGGUUAAUACCCCGCUGUUCUGACGGUACCCAAAGAAUAAGCACCGGCUAACUUCGUG